UUUCUCCGCCGGGCGACCGGCGCACGGGUGAGUAACACGUAUGCAACCUGCCCCUGUCAGGGGGACAACCCGCCGUAAAGGCGGGCUAAACCCGCGUACAUGCCACCGGGGCAUCCCGGAGGCAGGAAAGGCUUCGGCCGGACAGGGAUGGGCAUGCGGCGCAUUAGGCAGUAGGCGGGGUAACGGCCCACCUAACCGACGAUGCGUAGGGGUUCUGAGAGGAAGGUCCCCCACACUGGUACUGAGACACGGACCAGACUCCUACGGGAGGCAGCAG
rnacentral:rRNA from 1 species